AAAUCCGCUUUGAUAAUGCUGGGAUGUGAUGGGGAGCGAAAUUUAGUAGCGAAGUAGCUGAUUUCACACUGUCAAGAAAAGUCUCUAUCGAGGUUAAAGGUACCCGUACCGCAAACCGACACAGGUGGGUGAGGAGAGUAUCCUAAGGCCAGCGAGAGAACUGUUGUUAAGGAACUCGGCAAAAGGACCCCGUAACUUAGGGAUAAGGGGUGCCACCAUCAGGUGGCCGCAGAGAAUAGGCCCAAGCGACUGUUUACCAAAAACAUAGGUUUCUGCUAAGUCGCAAGACGAUGUAUAGGAGCUGACGCCUGCCCGG
rnacentral:rRNA from 1 species